rnacentral:rRNA from 1 species
GCAAAACGCGAAGAACCUUACCAGGGCUCAAAUGUAGAGUGACAGGACUGGAAACAGUUUUUCUUCGGACACUUUACAAGGUGCUGCAUGGUUGUCGUCAGCUCGUGCCGUGAGGUGUCAGGUUAAGUCCUAUAACGAGCGCAACCCCUGUUGUUAGUUGCCAGCGAGUCAUGUCGGGAACUCUAACAAGACUGCCGGUGCAAACCGUGAGGAAGGUGGGGACGACGUCAAAUCAUCACGGCCCUUACGUCCUGGGCUACACACGUGCUACAAUGGCCGGUACAGAGAGCAGCCACCUCGCGAGGGGGAGCGAAUCUAUAAAGCCGGUCACAGUUCGGAUUGGAGUCUGCAACCCGACUCCAUGAAGCUGGAAUCGCUAGUAAUCGGAUAUCAGCCAUGAUCCGGUGAAUACGUUCCCGGGUCUUGUACACACCG